UCCCACUAGAAAACAGAGAGGACACUGGUGAGGGGAAGUGUGCUGUGCACAGGUGGCGGGCCAGGCGGAAGCGGCCUCUCCUGAGUGCAGCAGGCUGGAAGUGAAGAGAGGGAAGACCCUACCCCGGGUCACCAUGGGAGGAAUCAGCAGCAAAUUCAGAAACUAUAGAAUCAGUCCCAGAUGACUUCGUUAACAAGAGAAGAUUGAAAGACAGCCCAGGGGCUACACCAACUCAAGAGUUCCCAGACAAAGUGGCCUCCUGGAAUCACAGUCUCUCUUGCCCCAUCCUCGAGAAAGGGUCUUGCUGUGUUGCCCAGGCUGAUCUUGAACUCCUGGCCCCAAGUGAUCUUUCUGCCCCAGCCUUCCAAAGUGCCAGGAUUACAGGUGUGAGCCACUGUGUCCGGCCUGGCUUUAUUUUGUCUUCUUGGAUUCCUAGUGAGUUUGAGUCUCCUUUAUGCAUCAUAACCCUUAUGCUACUAGUAAACAUAUAUUUUGUCUUUAACCCCAUUUCUGUCAUAUAACUCCUAAAAGCCUUAGUCUUUAAAGUGAUCUCUUUUUAUGUGCUAAUGGAUUAACUGGAGGCUGGCAGCCCAUAGGUAGCUUCAGGAUGGGGGCUGGUCAUCAGAGAGAUAGAAGCAGGAUUAGAGGGUUGGGACUUUCAUCCUGCCAUCCCACAUACUGGAGGGAAGGGCACUGAGGGUUAAGCUGUUCACCAAUGGCCAGUGAUUUACUUAAUCAUGCCUACGUAAUGAAGCCUCCACAAAAACCCAAAAGCCCCAGGAGGACAGGGUUCAGAAGCUUCUGGUAGCUGGGCACGUGGAGGCUCCUAGAAGGCAGCGAGCCCUGGAGUUCCACGCCCCCUCCCACACGCCUUGCUCUUUGCAUCUCUUCAUUUGUACCUGUUGUAAUAUCCUUUCUAAUAAACUGGUAAAUGCAA